CAUGAUAAUGGCAGGGGUGAGGAAAAGCACAUAAUCAUUAAUAGGAAUUGGGCUGAUUGAAUUCUUUUUUUAUUGGGAUUGAGCUUAGAAUCACUAAGAGAACAAAGUGAUUAGCAGUGGGAGCUAAAAGCACUGUGCCUAUAAGGUGGUCAGUCAUAUUUCCAUGAAAACGGUUUGUUUGCUAAAGGUGAAUUGCAUGCCUACCUGAGCAAUGCGCUGUAUCUUGUCAAUGCUUCCUAUCAUGGACUUGGGGAAGGUAUGAAAUAAAGGUAGGAAAGGUGAAUAAUCAGUAGACCGAGCUGCAGAAACUGUCAUAUCAGAAAGGAUUAAAGAGCCAUAAAAAUGGAGCCAAACAGACAGAUCCAGGACCAAUGCUCAGAAUGCUCAGUAGUUACCUAGUUAAUUAAUAUUCACCAAUCAAUCCAUUACGUGUUGGGCUGUGGAGUAAGGUUCUGGGGAUAAAAAAAAAAAAAAAGGUUCUGGGCAGUAAAUACAGCAGUAAAUAAAAGUCACUAUAUUUCCCUCACAGGAUUUGCAGUCUAGAAAACAGCUGGAGUUAUCAGGAGAAAAGGCACAGCCAGUCAUGAGGACAAAUUGACGCAUGGUGACCUCUUAGAUGAGCCUCAACAGGAGAACGUGCUGGUCUGGGGGAGUGGAGGUAAGAAGAAAGAACUGAUGGCCAAGGCAGUCAGCUUAGCAGACAGAUAGAGGGGCAAGUAUAGGUUUAUUUCAACUCCAGGAGUUCACCAAGGACUGGGAAAAAAGGACAUGGUAUUCCCCCUAAUGGUGAGCAGUGUUGAUCCAGUUAGGAUUAUUGCUUUCUUCAUCUCUAUAAUUUUAUAAAACACGAAAGGAAGAAUAAAGCUGAAACAGGGAGCAGUGACUGACCCUAUAAAAUAGAGGCUUUCUUUUAAAAUUAAAGUGUGACUUUAUUCUCUAAUCGCUGGCAGCUUAACUUUUUACAUUGCUGCCAAAGAACUGCCUUCUCUCAUUUUCGGCUGUUUCCCACCUAGAGCUUUUACAGACCAGCUGAUCAGAGAGAGGAGCUAACAUGUGGCUUGUUAGAGCAGUGGGUCUGUGCAUUGAAAUCACCUGGGAAGGUUUAACAAUCCUGCUGUUGGGUUUUCCAUUCAGAGAUUCUGAUUUUAUUGGUCUGAUGCACAGCUUGGCCGUGGGGACUUUUUAAAAGCUCCUUUGGCCUUUCUAAUAUGCAGACGAGGUUGAGAACCAAUGAGUAACUAAGCUGGCUCUGGGAGUCUGCUGUCCGCACGUUGGAAACCUUCAGAAUUAAUAAGGUGGAAAGAGAUCGAUCAGCCACUCCUGUUACUUUCCUUUCACACAUUUUCUUCCUUUUUUUUUGGUUAAAGGCCUCAAAACGAUCCAAUGAGAAAGCUAGUAGGCCUUAAAAAAGAGUACUUCUGGGAAAUACAGCUUUCUGAGACUGUCUAGGAGACAUCAUGGACCCUCAGGAGGAAUGGCCCUGAUGGCAGGUAACAGCCGGGGCCCUUUCAUUGCUUA